GUGGGAACCGUGUGGUACAGCGAGGUAUUAGCCGCAAGUUACAGGUGUUUAUGACUCCUGAUGGGAAAGGGUGGGGAUUGCGUACCCUUGAGGAUCUUCCAAGAGGUGCUUUUAUUUGCGAGUAUGUUGGUGAAGUUCUUACCAAUGCGGAACUCUUUGAUCGUGUUUCACAGAGCCACAAUAGAGAGGAACAUUCUUAUCCCGUGCUGCUUGAUGCUGACUGGGGUUCAGAGGGUGUCUUAAAGGAUGAAGAUGCGCUUUGUUUGGAUGCGACAUUUUUUGGGAAUGUAGCCAGGUUUAUCAAUCACAGAUGUUUUGAUUCAAAUAUGGUUGAAAUACCAGUUGAAAUAGAGACUCCAGAUCACCACUACUAUCAUCUUGCUUUUUUCACUACAAGAAAGAUUAAGGCAAUGGAGGAGCUCACUUGGGAUUAUGGUAUUGAUUUUGAUGAUCUUGAACAUCCAGUAAAAGCAUUUAGCUGCCAUUGCAGUAGCAAGUUCUGCCGAAAUAUGAAACGUCCAAGCCGAUCUAGAUCAAGAAGGUAGAGCCUGAGAUGGUGAUCUUCUCCAAGUAUUUUUUUGCCACGUUCCUGAUUUUGGGCGGUUCACGAAG
rnacentral:misc_RNA from 1 species